rnacentral:rRNA from 1 species
AUUGAACGCUGGCGGCAGGCCUAACACAUGCAAGUCGAGCGGAGCGGCGGACGGGGGGGUAAUGCCUAGGAAUCUGCCUGGUAGUGGGGGAUAACGUCCGGAAACGGGCGCUAAUCCCGCAUACUAUCAGAUGAGCCUAGGUCGGAUUAGCUAGUUGGUGGGGUAAAGGCCUACCAAGGCGACGAUCCCUAGCUGGUCUGAGAGGGUGACCAGCCACACUGGAACUGAGACACGGUCCAGACUCCUACGGGAGGCAGCAGUAGGGAAUAUUGCACAAUGGGCGCAAGCCUGAUGCAGCCAUGCCGCGUGUAUGAAGAAGGCCUUCGGGUUGUAAAGCACUUUUAGCGGGGAAGCGUUACCCGCAGAAGAAGCACCGGCUAACUCCGUGCCAGCAGCCGCGGUAAUAC